GACCUCGGAUCAGGUAGGAAUACCCGCUGAACUUAAGCAUAUCAAUAAGCGGAGGAAAAGAAACCAACAGGGAUUGCCUCAGUAACGGCGAGUGAAGCGGCAAAAGCUCAAAUUUGAAAUCUGACCCUUCGGGUCCGAGUUGUAAUUUGCAGAGGAUGUUUCGGGUAAGAUUUAGGUCUAAGUUCCUUGGAACAGGACGUCAUAGAGGGUGAGAAUCCCGUACGUGACCGUUGAUCGCACCCAUGUGAAACUCUUUCGACGAGUCGAGUUGUUUGGGAAUGCAGCUCAAAAUGGGUGGUAAAUUUCAUCUAAAGCUAAAUAUUGGCCAGAGACCGAUAGCGCACAAGUAGAGUGAUCGAAAGAUGAAAAGCACUUUGAAAAGAGAGUUAAACAGUAUGUGAGAUUGUUGAAAGGGAAGCGC
rnacentral:rRNA from 1 species